rnacentral:pre_miRNA from 1 species
AAUACUUGUUGAUUCGAGUUUUUGUUUGUAACGUUUGAUCAUUCGUGUUAUUCAAAAAAAUUAUGAAAUUAUUAUUUAUUUUCUUUGUGACUUGCUUUAUUAUCAAAAGUACUUUAAAUAUGACUUUUUCUUUUUUAUAUUUGCACUAAUUUUUUAAAUAAGACGAAUGGUUAAACGUUGCAAACAAAAAGUCAAAGCGACAUCUAUU